CACGCAGUUUCUCUCACUGGGGAUCCGCCCCUCGCUCUAGGGGUUCCAUUCUCCACACGGCAUUGCUAGAUGCUUUUCAGGUUCACCAUUUAAAGGGUGAGAUGGCUGUCAUUCAUGAUGUGCAUGAAAAGAAGCAGAUGUCUGAUCUUCAGGAACAGCUGAAAACAACCAGCAGUGGUGAGAUAAAAGCAGAAACAAGAAGCUCCAACCUUUUUCAAAUGGAAACAACACAAAAGAGCAGAUACAAGGAAGAUUUUUCCCAGAGGUUGAAACUGCAGGAGCAGGCAUUGCAACUCCAACACCACCUGCAGAAUGAAAGAGAAAAUUGUUUACAGAGAUCUAAAUGGAUGAGAGAGAGGCUUAUACAGUCAGAAGCUCUCAUACUUCAGCUAGAAGGAAAGCUCUAUACAAUGAAUGGUGGGGACCCAGAAUUAAUGGCAAAAGUUCAGAAGAUUCAAGAAACCAAUGAGGCUGAGGUGAAACAAAUCCAAGAGGA